GGGUCGUUAGCUCAGUAGGUAGAGCAGUUGACUUUUAAUCAAUUGGUCGCAGGUUCGAAUCCUGCACGACCCA
rfam:Wigglesworthia glossinidia endosymbiont of Glossina brevipalpis DNA, complete genome.